rnacentral:miRNA from 1 species
CAUUACAAGUUUUUGGCAGAGUAUCAAAAUGAAACAGAACUUGAUACUUUGCAAAACCUUGAACUGCUUGUGGAAGACACACUUCAUAUUCAUCUG